UCCUCCCCGACGGCGAUGGCGGCUGGAGAUUGAAAGUCUCGCCGUCAUCUGAUGAAUCCUCUGAUUCCUCAUGGCACCGUUUCUCGUUAAUGUAUCGGAUAGUUCUUUCUUUGCCUCCCUUGUUACUUGGUUUCUUCUUGUGUUGGGGGUUUCCGAUCGCUUUUUUAUGUCUGUAGAUCGUUUUUGGGUUUCGUUUGGGGGUUUGGGCUUUCGGUACGAAUGAUCGAAGGCAGGAUGGUGUGUAUCGGCGUGAUGCUAUUCUACCAUGCAUUUCUUGCCGAAAGUGAUUCCUGCUAGACCAAUAUUGGGGAAAAUGGGCAGUUGGGAUACCCUAAUCUUGCAACCGGUAUCUCGACAAUCAUUUUCCUUACAACCGUACUAAAAGCAGUACCGUUAUCGUUUUUUUUUUUUUUUCUCGUUCUAUUAGGAUCUCUUGUUGUUCCUGAUCUUGAAGGAGGGUUUUUGACGGUAGUUGACGACAAGGUGGAAUUAGGCUCAACUUUUUCGGGUUAUGGUCAUGUUACUUUCGGCAUUUCGUGAUGAAUUAAAAGGAAGUGAAAAUGAGGUUUUUCACAUUCGUUUAUCUGUAGAAAAAGGAAAAUAAGCUGUGGAAUUCUUUGAAAGGAAAAUUAAUCUUACAUUGGUGAAGGCAAAAAUGUAGGUAGUGUUAAAAGUGAAGAUCUUAUGUUUAGGUCUUUUAUGGGCUUAUGCGACGUUAUUUCUUAAUCACCAAUGAUAUGUUUAUUUGUUUUUCAUAUUAGAACUUUUCUCCACCAGGUUAAAUUUUGACGAAAUUUGUUGGCUUGGACUUUGACGAAAUUUGUUGCCUUAAUCAUUCAUCUAAUGCCAAUUGUUUAAUUCUGAUGGACUUGUACUGGAGCAACAUUUGAGUAGAUAAGCUUACAUUUUUGGACAUUUUCAUUUUUCAGCGGCAUUGAAAUACGUCUCCCUUAUUACUUCGACAUGAUGAUGGAUGGAUAAAAUUUGUCUGGCAACAAAUUAUUUUAAAUUGGCAUUUUGUAUGAUGAAGCUGUAAAUGUGGAUCUUCCUCAAACCUGCAUUUGCUGGAGCCUUUGUACACUGGGCUGUGCUUUGUUAAAAUUUAAGCCGCCCUAUUGUGUCCAUUUUGGUAUCCCAAAAAGGAUAUGCAAUGGGACAAGUCAACUACCAGCUGUAGCCCAAAAAGCCUGUGAAACACAAGGCUUCCCAUGUUUGGGCCAUUAUGAUCUGAGAAUAGGAUGAUCGGAUGGCCAAUCAACUGCCAACGACUGAUUCGCCAGUGCCUUGGAUGCUUGUAUUCGAUUCAUUUAUAAGCUAUAGUUUUGGGAAGUAUCCUUUAGAUGUCACACUUUGCCCCUUUAAUGUGGACAUGUGGUCAUGAUUGUUCAAUAUUUAUCCAAUAAAUAUUGCAUGCGAGAAGUUCUUAUGCAAAGUUUAGUGGAUUCUGAUAGCUUUACUGAAAUGUUGAAAAAUGCUUGAAUCUCUGUAGGUAUGGUCCCUGACAAGCUGCUACAGAUGAGAGCGAGAGAGUACAUGGCUUUAUGUGCAUGAGAGGGAUUAAUGCGGCAAUGUCAGAUGCAGACUGUGGUGCUUUCAACCCUAGCAGGCAGGAGCUGUAGAUAUGGUGGGUGCUGGUGCACUACUGCAUAUGCCGCACAGCUUCAAGUAGUAGCUUGUCUGCUCUGUUGCUGGUGGAAUCUGAAGCAGGACACUCACCAGGUACUGCCGCAACCACCGCCCCUCCCUUCAGUGGAUGUAUAGAUGUUUCAAAAUAGGUUGGCAACAACACGCAAAGAUCUCAGGAGGAUUAUGACGAAAAAGUAGAGAGAAAAAGAUUGUUCCUUUUAGUUUAAUAAAUGACUAAUUACGAGGGUGUUUAAGAGAAAUAUAUAUACAUAUAUAUAUAUAUUAUUCUGAAAUAGGGAUCAGGGGUAAUGGUGUGCUGAUGUAAACACCCUAAAGUACAAAAAUAUUAGACUCAAGACACGUCAAGUGAUAUAGUAUAUUUUGACUCAAGACA